AUACGUAGGUGACAAGCGUUAUCCGGAUUUACUGGGCGUAAAGGGUGUGUAGGCGGUCUUGCAAGUCAGAAGUGAAAUUCCUGAGCUCAACUCGGGCGCUGCUUCUGAAACUGCAGGACUUGAGUGCUGGAGGGGAUAGCGGAAUUCCUAGUGGAGCGGUAAAAUGCGCAGAGAUUAGGAAGAACACCGGUGGCGAAGGCGGCAAUCUAGACAGUAACUGACGCUGAGGCGCGAAAGCGUGGGGAGCAAACAGGAUUAGAUACCCUCGUAGUCCACGCCGUAAACGAUGAGCACUAAGUGUCGGAUGAAUUUUCGGCGCUGCAGUUAACACAAUAAGUGCUCCGCCUGGGGAGUACGGUCGCAAGACUGAAACUUAAAGGAAUUGACGGGG
rnacentral:rRNA from 1 species